GCAGUCGUACGAGAACGCUUCAGCUUGCUGAAGCUAGUAAAGUGGCGUACGGGUGAGUAACGCGUGGGUAAUCUACCUUCGAAUUGGGGAUAACGUUGCGAAAGUGACGCUAAUACCGGAUAAUAUCAUAGAGACCUUGGUUUUUAUGAUCAAAGAUGGCCUCUCCUUGGAAGCUAUUGUUUGGAGAUGAGCCCGCGUCCCAUUAGCUUGUUGGUGGGGUAAUGGCCUACCAAGGCAACGAUGGGUAGCUGGUCUGAGAGGAUGAUCAGCCACACUGGAACUGACACACGGUCCAGACUCCUACGGGAGGCAGCAGUGAGGAAUUUUGCGCAAUGGGGGAAACCCUGACGCAGCAACGCCGCGUGAGUGAUGAAGGCUUUCGGGUCGUAAAGCUCUGUCAAGUGGGAAGAACUCCCGUGAGGUUAAUACCCUCAUGGUUUGACGGUACCACUGAAGGAAGCACCGGCUAACUCCGUGCCAGCAGCCGCGGUAAUACGGGGGGUGCAAGCGUUAUUCGGAUUUACUGGGCGUAAAGCGCGCGUAGGCGGCCGUUUAAGUCAGAUGUGAAAGCCCGGGGCUCAACCCCGGAAGUGCAUUUGAUACUAUUCGGCUUGAGUAUGGGAGAGGGAAGUGGAAUUCCUGGUGUAGAGGUGAAAUUCGUAGAUAUCAGGAGGAACACCGGUGGCGAAGGCGACUUCCUGGACCAAUACUGACGCUGAGGCGCGAAGGCGUGGGUAGCAAACAGGAUUAGAUACCCUGGUA
rnacentral:rRNA from 1 species